rnacentral:tRNA from 1 species
AAUCUUGUAGUCAAUAAUGAUUUUAGACUGCAAUUCUAAAGGUGUAGAAAAUCUACUAAGAUUU